GUACUGUCAAGGAGAUAUGCUCCGUCGCCACCGGAGCCACGAAGAAGGAAAUUGGCCGUGUGAAAGAGUAUAUCGUGAAGCAAUUGGAGGUGGAGAUAGGCCAGUCCAUGGAAAUGGGCACAAUACAUGCCGGUGAAUUUCUCAGACGUUUCUGCUCGCAUCUUGGAAUGAGUAAUCAAACAGUCAAGGCUGCUCAAAAAGUUGUGCAUAAAUCUCAA